rnacentral:rRNA from 1 species
GGACGAACGCUGGCGGCGUGCUUACCACAUGCAAGUCGAACGGAAAGGCCCUGCUUUUGUGGGGUGCUCGAGUGGCGACCGGGUGAGUAACCCGUGAGUAACCUGCCCUUGACUUUGGGAUAACUUCAGGAAACUGGGGCUAAUACCGGAUAGGAGCUCCUGCUGCAUGGUGGGGGUUGGAAAGUUUCGGCGGUUGGGGAUGGACUCGCGGCUUAUCAGCUUGUUGGUGGGGUAGUGGCUUACCAAGGCUUUGACGGGUAGCCGGCCUGAGAGGGUGACCGGCCACAUUGGGACUGAGAUACGGCCCAGACUCCUACGGGAGGCAGCAGUGGGGAAUAUUGCACAAUGGGCGGAAGCCUGAUGCAGCAACGCCGCGUGCGGGAUGACGGCCUUCGGGUUGUAAACCGCUUUCGCCUGUGACGAAGCGUGAGUGACGGUAAUGGGUAAAGAAGCACCGGCUAACUACGUG